rnacentral:rRNA from 1 species
UACGUAGGGUGCGAGCGUUGUCCGGAAUUAUUGGGCGUAAAGAGCUUGUAGGCGGUUUGUCGCGUCUGCUGUGAAAUCUCAAGGCUCAACCUUGAGCUUGCAGUGGGUACGGGCAGACUAGAGUGUGGUAGGGGAGACUGGAAUUCCUGGUGUAGCGGUGAAAUGCGCAGAUAUCAGGAAGAACACCCGUGGCUAAGGCGGUUCUCUAGUACGGUACUGACGCUGAGACGCGAAAGCGUGGGGAGCGAACAGG